CCAUGCUUGCCACCAUGAUGAUAAUGGACUGAACCUCUGAAACUGACUCACAGCUGCAGUCCUACCAGUGGGAAAUGACAGGUGGGAGUAGAGACUAAAAGCCAGGCACGGGAAGAAGUGCCGACUCAGCUGACCACAGAGUUUCUUCCCAGAGGCCCCUCAAGGGGACUCUCCAAAGGACAAGGUAGGCACAACUGUCAUCAGUCCAUCCUGGUCCUUCUGGAACACACAGAACAUCUGCUUCCUGACCCCUGGCACCAUGGGAUAGGGCCACAGACCCAACCGUGAAGGGAAGGCUCUAACUGCUGGCCACCUACAAAAGCACACUCAGGCUCUAUGCACAUCACCUACCACGGUGGGAUAGCUUGGAUCUGGAGUCCAGGCCACGUCAACGCCUGGGUCCUCAGUUGCUGCCGUUGGUUGAUGGAAGAAAUGUCAGGAGUUACAGCCUCGUAGAAAGAAGUUAAAGUUGUUAGAAAUGUUAGAUAUUGGGACCCUGGUCUCUGCCCUUCUCUCUCUAAAACUACCACGAAGUGAAGAGUCUCCCUCCGCCACAGGCUCCUGCCAUAGGAAGGAGCCAUCACAGCCUGAAGCAAAGGGCAAGCAACCACCGACAGGAGCCAAAAUUAGCUUCCCCCCUCCCCACUCAGAUACUACGUCAGACUGAUACAGAGCUAAAGUCCUGUCUUAAGAGCAAGUGGCCACAGCAUCCUCAUAGACCGGUUCGCUGAGGUCACAUUCCACCGGGUGGGGUGGGGGGAGGGGGCGACAGCUUCCCGUGAGGAAAGAAACUUGGCUGUGUAAAGGCACCGACACCUUGGUAUUAUUUGUUACACAGCCUUGCUCAGCUUAUCCUGACUAAUCUAUGAGGAAUGAGGUCCGCCAGUUCUGAAAGGACAUCCGCUCCAAAGGCAAAUGCUGGAAAUGGCCUGAGUCGUCAGCAAGGGAUAAAAUGCUCGAAAGCAAACAACUUCCACGUCGCACAGCAUUCUGUGUUAACCAAAGACGUGUUGUCAAAGGACAUUUGGUAGCCUAUAGAAAUGCCAGCACAGUGUUAGGUGAACAACGCAAUGACAAAGUGGCCAGACAUAUGAUACCAAUUUCCAUAAAAUCCAUGGUAUGCCAGAAAGACUAGGAGGAAAAGAUGUCAAAAUUUUUACCACUGAAUA